UACGGGGGGAGCAAGCGUUGUUCGGAUUUACUGGGCGUAAAGGGCGCGUAGGCGGCCAGCACAAGUCAGUUGUGAAAUCUCCGAGCUUAACUCGGAAAGGUCAACUGAUACUGUGCGGCUAGAGUGCGGAAGGGGCAACUGGAAUUCUUGGUGUAGCGGUGAAAUGCGUAGAUGUCAAGAGGAACACCUGCGGCGAAGGCGGGUUGCUGGGCCGACACUGACGCUGAGGCGCGAAAGCCAGGGGAGCGAACGGG
rnacentral:rRNA from 1 species